rfam:Triticum urartu cultivar G1812 contig812994, whole genome shotgun sequence.
CACAUACUCCCUCCGUUCUGAAUUACUUGUCUUAGAUUUGUCUAGAUACGGAUGUAUCUAGCACUAAAAUGAGUCUAGAUACAUCCGUAUCUAGACAAAUCCAAUACAAGUAAUUCGGAACGGAGGGAGUAUAAU